AAAACUUUCAACAACGGAUCUCUUGGUUCUGGCAUCGAUGAAGAACGCAGCGAAAUGCGAUAAGUAAUGUGAAUUGCAGAAUUCAGUGAAUCAUCGAAUCUUUGAACGCACAUUGCGCCCCUUGGUAUUCCGGGGGGCAUGCCUGUUCGAGCGUCAUUU
rnacentral:rRNA from 26 species